GACGAACGCUGGCGGCGUGCUUAACACAUGCAAGUCGAACGGAAAGGCCCUGCUUUUGUGGGGUGCUCGAGUGGCGAACGGGUGAGUAACACGUGAGUAACCUGCCCUUGACUUUGGGAUAACUUCAGGAAACUGGGUCUAAUACCGGAUAGGAGCUCCUGCUGCAUGUUGGGGGUUGGAAAGUUUCGGCGGUUGGGGAUGGACUCGCGGCUUAUCAGCUUGUUGGUGUGGUAGUGGCUUACCAAGGCUUUGACGGGUAGCCGGCCUGAGAGGGUGACCGGCCACAUUGGGACUGAGAUACGGCCCAGAAUCCUACGGGAGGCAGCAGUGGGGAAUAUUGCACAAUGGGCGGAAGCCUGAUGCAGCAACGCCGCGUGCGGGAUGACGGCCUUCGGGUUGUAAACCGCUUUCGCAUGUGACGAAGCGUGAGUGACGGUAAUGGGUAAAGAAGCACCGGCUAACUACGUG
rnacentral:rRNA from 1 species